rnacentral:rRNA from 1 species
CCAAUAGCGUAUAUUAAAGUUGUUGCAGUUAAGAAGCUCGUAGUUGAAUUUCGGAAUUUGUCGGUUGGUCGGGCUUCACUGUCCGCACUGGCCUGAUGGAUUCCUACCUUCUGAAUAACCAGCAUGCUAUUUAGUUAGUGCGUUGGGGAAGCAGAGCUAUUACCUUGAAAAAAUUAGAGUGCUUAAAGCAGGCUUACGCUUGAAUAGAUUAGCAUGGAAUAAUAAAAUAGGACGGCAUGGUUCUAUUUUGUUGGUUUCUAGGAUCACCGUAAUGAUUAAUAGGGAUAGUUGGGGGCAUUAGUAUUCAAUUGUCAGAGGUGAAAUUCUUGGAUUUAUUGAAGACUAACUUCUGCGAAAGCAUUUGCCAAGGAUGUUUUCAUUAAUCAAGAACGAAAGUUAGGGGAUCGAAGACGAUCAGAUACCGUCGUAGUCUUAACCAUAAACUAUGCCGACUAGGGAUCGGACGAUGUUAAUUUUUUAAUGACUCGUUCGGCGCCUUAC